rnacentral:rRNA from 1 species
UGGCGGACGGGUGAGUAACGCGUGGAAAACCUGCCGUAUACUGGGGGAUAACACUUUGAAAUAGGUGCUAAUACCGCAUAAGCGCACAGCUUCGCAUGAAGCGGUGUGAAAAACUCUGGUGGUAUACGAUGGUUCCGCGUCUGAUUAGCUAGUUGGUGGGGUAAUGGCCUACCAAGGCAACGAUCAGUAGCCGGACUGAGAGGUUGACCGGCCACAUUGGGACUGAGAUACGGCCCAGACUCCUACGGGAGGCAGCAG